UGAGGAGCUCCGCACCUAUACAAGAUUCUACAAUGGCGAGGGUCUCUAUAAAAACUGAGGGCGUGCUGCAGCGAUGUCCUAAGCAGGUUGUGGACCAAGCUGCCUAUGUUGCGUCGACUGAUGCACAUCAACGGAGUCGCUGGAGCUGUUUCAGGUGUCUCCGAAUAUCUUGCACAUGUAGAAUUAAAGCUACUUUUUGGGGCGGAGGAAAGCCACGCCACGGCGAUAACUAUCGAAUCAGACACCACCACACCCACACCAUCUAGUAAGGUGUUUGCCUGCUUGUACUCAACGCUCAAUGAGCGCUGGGCUGUAGCUUCGAGACGCCGGACUCUUAUAUCCUACGUUUUGCCACAAGCCGAGUCGUAUCCGAUUUCCCCCCGCCAGACGGAGUCCUAUCCAAACAUUACCGAGGCGUAUUCGAGACAGACCGAGUCCCAUCCCAGCCAGACUGAAUUGUGUUCCAGCAGGACAGAAGCGCACCCCUUACCUGAUUUGAACCCGGCCAUUUGACGCGAGUUUUUUUGUACGGUGGCGCCCCUAUCGGCCCGUGCGACGGCUUCCUGUGAUCGG